rnacentral:rRNA from 1 species
UUUCCGUAGGUGAACCUGCGGAAGGAUCAUUAAGCCGAGUUUUCGAGCUCCGGCUCGACUCUCCCACCCUUUGUGAACGUACCUCUGUUGCUUUGGCGGCUCCGGCCGCCAAAGGACCUUCAAACUCCAGUCAGUAAACGCAGACGUCUGAUAAACAAGUUAAUAAACUAAAACUUUCAACAACGGAUCUCUUGGUUCUGGCAUCGAUGAAGAACGCAGCGAAAUGCGAUAAGUAAUGUGAAUUGCAGAAUUCAGUGAAUCAUCGAAUCUUUGAACGCACAUUGCGCCCCUUGGUAUUCCGGGGGGCAUGCCUGUUCGAGCGUCAUUACAACCCUCAAGCUCUGCUUGGAAUUGGGCACCGUCCUCACUGCGGACGCGCCUCAAAGACCUCGGCGGUGGCUGUUCAGCCCUCAAGCGUAGUAGAAUACACCUCGCUUUGGAGCGGUUGGCGUCGCCCGCCGGACGAACCUUCUGAACUUUUCUCAAGGUUGACCUCGGAUCAGGUAGGGAUACCCGCUGAACUUAAGCAUAUCAAUAAGCGGAGG